rnacentral:tRNA from 2 species
ACAGGUGUAUCCCAAUUGGCAGAGGAAGCGAGCUCAAACCUCGUUUAUGUGUGGAUUCGAAUUCCACCGCCUGUA